UUAUUUUUGCAGCCCCUCUCUCAGCUCUUUCACAAUUAAAUGAGAAAGAGAGCCCAACUGACCAGUAAAGAAAAAGAAAAGUGGAGGUUGCAGCAGAGGAAAAGAGAAGGUGCUUUGGGACACCUGGGCUAAGGCAAGCAUGAUACUUCUAGCAAUCAUAGCAGGCCACUUUUCAACAGCAAGUCUUACAUAGUGAUUCGGGAUACUUCAGAAACAAUAAAGUCACAUUGUAACGGAGGAGGAGGAGGAGGAGGCAAGAAGAAGCCAGUCAAUUCUGACAUCUGGCAAACUUUUUCAGGGUUUUCCAGCUUAGUGCAUCCCACAUUGACCAGAGGAGUGGCAACAGCUAUCCCCAGAAUAUCUGAACACACCGUUUUCUGGCUGGAGUUGAGAGCUGAGCACCCUGUUAUAAUGAAGGUCAUCUGA
rnacentral:lncRNA from 1 species